CCUACGGGGGACAGCAGUGGGGAAUUUUGCGCAAUGCUCGUAAGAGUGACGCAGCGACGCCGCGUGAAGGAAGAAGGCUCUCGGGUUGUAAACUUCUUUUAAGAGGGAAGAGCAGAAGACGGUACCUCUUGAAUAAGCCACGGCUAACUACGUGCCAGCAGCCGCGGUAAUACGUAGGUGGCAAGCGUUGUCCGGAUUUACUGGGUGUAAAGGGCGUGCAGCCGGGAAGACAAGUCAGAUGUGAAAUCCCGCGGCUCAACCGCGGAACUGCAUUUGAAACUGUUUUUCUUGAGUACCGUAGAGGUCAUCGGAAUGCCUUGUGUAGCGGUGAAAUGCGUAGAUAUAAGACAGAACACCAGUGGCGAAGGCGGAUGACUGGACGGCAACUGACGGUGAGGCGCGAAAGCGUGGGGAGCAAACAGGAUUAGAUACCCUUGUAGUC
rnacentral:rRNA from 1 species